rnacentral:hammerhead_ribozyme from 1 species
AUCCAGUUGACGAGUCCCAAAUAGAACGAAACGCGCAUCCUCUAU